CGGGCUAUUGGACGGAUAACUGCGCUAUCGAAGGCUUGGGACGAGGCGCGGGGCGUGGGAUAGAGUUUAGAGUUACGUUGGUAGUCUGUGUACGUUGUCUUUUCGAAGUAGUCUGUGAUUUCCCGUUAUGUUACUUUUUUCUUCCGUUUCGGGGUUUUUGUACCCUGUAGGAGACCCUAGCUGUCUCCAUCAUGCUUGCUAAAUUCAUACCCCUAU
rnacentral:lncRNA from 1 species